AGUCGUGAACUGGGGGGACAUUUCCAGUCUCCCCCUCCAGAUCCGGCGCAAUACCACAGAAGGAG
rnacentral:ncRNA from 1 species